rnacentral:snRNA from 1 species
GUGCUUGCUUCCGCAGCACAUAUACUAAAAUUGGAAGGAUACAGAGUAGAUUAGCAUGGCCCCUGCACAAGGAUUACAUGCAAAUUCAUGAAUUGUUCCAUAUUUUU